AGCAAGUAAAGAUGGCACUGACAUCUAGUGGUCGUUUGUGGUAUAUGACCAUUAAGCCGUGUCUUUAGCUUUCUUCUGGCAUUUUACUAGGCCACAGUUGAUAAGCAUGUUAAUAAGAUAUCUCCACUCCACCAAUCCCCAGAGGACAAGUUUACAGCUACUGUCUGUUUUGUACUUAAAGUGAGUGCCUUUGUUCUCCGGGGUCCCCGGAAUCAACUAUGAGGUGUUCCUGCAAUAAAGGCUGUUAAAGAAGAAUCCAAAGGUGUCGCGUCUUCCUUGGUGGUAGAGGUGGGCGCUUCAACUGGUGGCCAAAGUACGGGGACCCGAGAAAAUUAUCUUUUCUCGUUUGGAUUCAGAACUUUUUCAGCCUCAGGACGGUCAACGUCGCUAUGCUUGCUGUUCCCAUUGGAAGUGGAUGUACAAGGUCUACAUUUCCUUAUUUGAAUCAUUGAUGAGAGGACGAGUCGUAGAUAAUCAACUGUUUCUACAACAUGCUCUGGGAACAUCUGCCUUGGUGCCUCAUGAGGAAACAGAUAAAGAGAAUAAAGUAAAUUUAAAAGUGGAAGCAAGAUUUGCAGCCUAAAAAGUUAGCAGCAGAUGAGAUUAAAAGCCUUUUACUCAGAACUGAACCAGUCCUGCUAUGCUCGGUUCUCAAAUCCCAAUGGGGACAGAGCAGCCCUCUUAGAGGUGCAGAGGAUCCUGAAAGCUGAGAGGAGACAACUAGUUUUGCUCACGUUCCUGAAGCAGGAGGAACCCUCCAAUGGCCCUCAGUGCCCUUUGUGCACAGGGACCUAGGGGCAGUAAGGGAAAGGAACCUACCAGUUUCUGUCUGCCUCCAGAGCUGGAAGCCAAUCUCCAGUAUCACUGACACACCUGAGAGCAGAGUUAAGGACAACUCUUCUGCUCUGGGUGACGCCCCUGGUGGCCUCAGGACACAAAAAGCCACUAGCAGUCAGACACAGGACAUGUCUGGUGUGUCUGGUAUCUGCCUGUACCUGGAGCUGAACUGCUCCCACAGCACUGUGUAUUCAAAUUCCAUGGGGGAAAGAGCUAGACUCUCAGAAAUGUGGACAAUUCUGAGAGCUCAGGCAAGACAAUCACUUCUGCUCACACUCCUGGCCCAAGAGGAAACUGCCUAUUGCCUUCUGGAUAUAGGAACCAAAAAGCAGUCAGCAGCAGGAACCUUUUAGUUUCUUCCUGGGCCAACAACUGAUAGUCAGUCACCUGGUAUUGUGAUACACCUGAGAGCAGCUGAGGUAAGACCAGCUAUUCUGCUCCAAGUGACCUUGAAGGAGGCUUCAGGGCAGAGGAGCAGCUCUCUGUUCCCAGAUCUGGUUGAAAGUAAACAGGUCUACAGGAGUGCUGACCUACAGGCUUAAAGGAGUAUCAAACCACUGUCAGAAACAGCAAGACAAGCUAACACAGGAGGCAACCUGAUAGUGUGAUGCAAGCACAGGAGCCUAAGCAACAGAAAUCAAGACUACUUGGCAUCAUGAGCGUCCAGUUCCCCCACCAAAGCAAAUACUAGAUAUACAAACACAUCAGAAAAACAAGAUUUGGAUUGAAGAUCACAUCUCAUGAUGAUGAUGAUAGAAGACUUUAAAAAGGACAUUAAUAACUCCCUUUAAGAAACAUAGGACAACACAGGUGAACAAGAAGAGGCCCUUAAAGAGGAAAACAUAAAAAUCUCUUAAAGAAUUAAAUGAAAGCACAAUCUGAAGGAGAAAGAAUUGAACAGAGUCAUUGUAGAUUUAAAAAUAGAAAAAGAAACAAUAAAGAAAUAAAAGAGGGAGACAACCAUGGGAAUAGAAAACCGGGUAAAGGGAUCAGUAGUCAUAGAUGCAAAUAUCAUCAAGAGAAUACAAGAUAUAGAAAAAGAAAUCAGCGGCAGAAGAUACCAUAGAAAACAUUGAUGUAACCACCCAGGACAAUGUAAAAUGCAAAAGGCUCUUACACAAAAUAACCAGGAAAUCCAGGACACAAUGAGAAGCUCAAACCUAAGGGUAUUAGAUGUAAAUGAGUGCAAAGACUCCUAACUUAAUGGGCCAGUAAAUAUUUUCAACAAAAAUAUAGGAGAAAACUUCCCUAACUUAAAGAAAGAGAUGCCCAUGAACAUUCAAGAAGGUUAUAGAGCUCUAAAUAGAUUGGACCAGAUGAGUAAUUUCUCCUAUCACAUAUGUCAAAAAAUAAAAUGCACAAAUCAAAGAAAGAAUAUUAUAAGCAGUAACGGAAAAAUCUCAAGUGACAUAUAAAUGCACACCUGUAAGAAUUACUCCAGACUUCUCUCCAAAGACAAUGAAAGUCAGAAAAUAAUGGAAAGAUGUCAUACAGACCCUAAGGGAACACAAAUGCCAACCCAGGCUACAAUAUCCAGCAAAAUACUCAAUUUACAUACAUGGAGAAACCAAGAUAUUUCAUGACAAACCAAAGUUAUUCAAUAUCUUUCUUUAAAUCCAGCUCUACAGAGGAUAAGAGAUGGAAAUCUCCAACACAAGGAGGGAGACUACCAUGUAGACAAAGCAAGAAAGUAACAUCUUUCCAACAAAACCAGAAGAAGAUGACACACAAACAUAAUUUCAUUCUAACUCUAAAUAUGAAAAUAACAGGGAGCAUCAAUCACUGUUCUUUAAUAUUUCUCAACAUCAAUGCAUUCAGUUCUCUAAUAAAAUGACAUAGACUAACAAGCUGGAUUCAUAAAGAGGACUCAGCGUUUUGUGGCAUACAGAAAACACAACAUAGAGACAAUGCAGACACUACCUCAGAGUAAAAGGCUGGAAAACAACUUUCCAAGUAAAUGGUCUGAAGAAACAACCUGGACUAGCCAUUAUGUUAUCGAAUAAAAUCGACUUUCAAACAAAAGUCAUUAAAAAAGAUAAAGGAAGGGCAUUUCAUAUUCAUCAAAAGAAAAUUCCAACAGGAUGAAUUCUCAAUCCUAAAUAUCUGUGCUCUAAAUGAAAUGGCACCUACAUUCAUUAAAAAAAAUUUUACUGAAGCUCAAAUCACAAAUUGUACUUCACACAAUAAUAGUAGGAGAUUUCAACACCUCACUGUCAUGAAUGGACUGAUCAUGAAUAUAUAAAUUAAACAGAGACAUAGAAAAACUGAUACAAGCUAUGAACCAAAUGGUUUUAACAGAUAUUUAUAUAACAUUUCAACAUAAAACAAAAGGAUAUACCUUCUUCUCAGCACCUCAUGGUACCUUCUCUAAAACUGACCGAAGAAGUUCCACCAGAGAUCUAAUUAACCAAAUAAACAACUUCAGCAAAGUGUCUGGGUAUAAUAUUAACUCAAACAAAUCAGUAGCUUUCCUCUACUCAAAGGAUAAGCAGGCUGAGAAAGAAAUUAGGGAAAUGAUACCUUUUAAAAUAGUCCAAAAUGAUAUAAAAUAUCUCUGUGUGACUUUAACGAAGCCUGUCAAAAUAUGCAUGACAAGAAGUUCAAGUCUCUGAAGAAAAAAAAAUAAUGCAAGAUCUCAGAAGAUGGAAAGACCUCCCAUGCUCUUGGAUUGGCAGAAUUAAUAGAGUAAAAAUGGCCAUUUUGACACAAGCAAUCUAGAGAUUCAGUGCAAUGCCUAUCAAAAUAACAAUUCAAUUCUUUAUAGAGAUAGAAAGAGAAAUUUUGAAAAUACUUUUGGAAUAACAAAAAACCCAGGAUUGCAAAAACUAUAAUCAACAAUAAAGAAUUUUUGGGAGAAUCACCGUCCCUGACCUUAAGCAGAAUUACAGAGCAAUAGUGAUAAAACCUGUAUGGUAUUGUUACAGAGACAGGCAGAUAGUUCAUUGGAAUAAAAUGGAAGACCCAAAAUGAACCUACACAACUAUGGUCACUUGAUCUUUGACACAGGUGCUAAAAACAUCCAUUGGAAAAAAGAUAGCAUUUUCAACAAAUGAUGCUAGUUCAACUGGAGCACAGCAUGUAGAAGAGUGCAAAUUGAUCCAUUCUCAUUGUCCUGGACAUAGCAUAAGCCCAUGUGAAUUAAGGACCUCCACAUCAAACCAGAUACACUCAAAUGAAUAGAAGAUAAAGUAGGGAAGAGUCUCAAAUACAUGAGCCCUGGGAAAUUUUCCUGAAAAAAAAUGCCUUAUGCUCUGAGAUCAAGAAUCAACAAUUUGGACUUCAUAAAACUGAAAAGCUUCUGUAAGAAAAAGGACACUCUACUUAGGACAAAACAGCAGCUAACUGAUUGGAAAAAGGUAUUUACCAAUGCUACACCUGAUAGAGGGAAAAUAUUCAAAAUAUUCAAAGAACUCAAGAAGUUAGACUCUAUUGGGUCAAAUAACCCUAUUAAAAAAUGUGGUACAGAGGUAAACAAAGAAUUCUCAGCUGAAAGAUAAUUAAUGUCUGUGAAGUAUCUAAAAAAAAUGUUCAACAUCCUUAAUCAGCAGGGAAAUGCAAAUCAAAACAACCCUGAGAUUCCAACUCAC